rnacentral:lncRNA from 1 species
CUGACUUCCCGGCUCCCUCAACCUUCUGACUCUUUCCCCUGAUUUAUUGUGCAAGGGCCCUGAAGGUUGAGGCCAACUCCCAGGAUUCAUGCUGGUUCAACACAGUGAUAACCUUAUGCUCAUUGAACAUGGCAAGCAGGGAUGAUGGAUACCCUCAAGGCCACAGGGCAGGAGACGAACUCCCAGGAAAAUUCAGGGGCCUGCCCCUGUGGGCAGGGUUUUUGGGAUCCAGUGGUCCUUGGCAUGUUGCAAUAUUUCUGCCAAAAGUAAAAGAUAAGUUGCUACAUCUUGAACCUGCUACCACUUAAAAGGAGGUGCAGCACUUGGUGAUGUCUGCAUUUUGAAGGCAUCCACGCACAUUUGAUCAUGCUCCUCUCACUUAUUUGCUGAGUGAAUUACGGCUGCCAAUUUUGGUGAAGCCCAUAACGAGAGCUGACGGGCAGCUGGUCUAGACUGCAGUACCAAAGAGAAGAUCCCAUGGUGCCCAAACAGACAGAAAGGAAGUUUCAAAGGAGCAAUUGACAAACCUUGACCAGAAAAACAGCACAAACCCUGGGAAUUCUUUCAAAGCUUCUUCUGCAAAUAACUAUUCUCGGUUAGAGAAAUAGUUGCUGGCUUGCCACUGAUGUCCCUGAAGGCCCAAAUACCUCAGGCUUCCAUGGAGCCAGUUCAUGCUGUGGAAUUCCUGUUUCUCCCUCAGCCCAUCCCCGCAGUCUCAUGGGGCAUUCUAUGAGAUCAGCCAGAUCAGGAAGGGAAAGUCCAGGUGGUUCCAUUCGGCACAGGGCAAAGAAAUACGGAGUGGGAAGAGGAGGAAGGGACUUCACAAAUAUCAAGGACUCCCUGAAGACCACUUGCAGACGCCUGAACUGCAGUAGCGAUGCGUGCUUUCCUUGUGUUGGAUUUCUGUCUUGCUCACAGUAUAGAAGCUGUUGACCGCUCCUUGCUUGGCUGUCACAAUACGAUGAUCAAAUGGGGCCGGAGGAGCCGGGAUGUCAACUAGAAGGAUCCAGAUUUGAACAGCAGGGCGGCAUCGGUCCACAGGCGUGUGCCGGCUACCUGGGCAUGAGUGCGCUCUCGCCCUGCGUCACAGACCUGUCCCAGUACUACAUCAAAACCCUACUUUUCCUGAGAGUGGCGGAAUAGCUGAAAGGGAAAUUCAUUCAACUGAACAACAUCGUCUAAUCCUUCUUUCAUUCCCAUUCAAUAAAAAUCAUUUAAAAAAUCAAUGGUAAAACGGAUUUGUCCUUGAAAGAACAUAAAGGCUGAGAUAAGGGCUGCUCCUCUGGACCUCAACAAUGCCACCAUCGUUUUCCGUGUUACUGCAGCGUUCUCAAUGUGUCUGUCUGCCCGCUGGCAUACGGACCCUUCUCUUCCCCUUCGUUUCCCCAGCACCGAACAGAGGGUAAAGUUCUGAAGUGCUUGGUGAAGCAAUGCGUGAUGAAGAAAACAGUGCUUUCUGGAAUGGCACGUUCACUGUGAGAACACUCUGUCAUCAGGCUGCACCCCUGAAAAGCCAGGCUGCCCUGGGGGCCAUCUCAGAUGCAUCCCUGCCACGGUGGCUCAUAUCCACAGCCCUGAAUUUACAUAGCCGAUGGCCAGCAAUAUCAACGGCCAUGCAUUUUGGGAUUACAGUUGCUGCAGAAAAUUGUGUUCAUAACAUAACAUAUAGAG